CCACAAGAACCGCAGCCCCCCUUGCAGCCUCCACAGGAGCCACAGCCCCCCUUGGAGCCCCCACAAGAACCACAGCCCCCACAGCCGGAGCCACAGCCCCCACAGCUGGAGCCACAGCCUCCGGAGCAGCCGCAACAGCCCAUGGUUCUGGUGGAUUGAGGGUGGAGCAGGUAGAGGAGCAGGUGAGAGGGAGGUGCAGGUGUGGAGCUCCCUGAGCCUGGACCCUUUAUAUCCCUGCCCAGGGUCAUGUGUGAGGCUGGGCACACAUUUCCUGGUUCCUGUUUGUGCCAUUUUUAGGGCCCCUUUUUCUUGUUUCCUCUAGAAAUCCGCCCCUUGGUGUAUGGGCUGCUCAGUGGGCUGCUGCUCUCUUGCUGAAUCUGUGUCCAGACUUAAUGGAGGCCCCCAAGGGUCUAGCCUCUCCCUGUUGACUCCAGAGUCACACUGGAUUUACAAAAGCAUCUAUUUUAGGCUGGGCAUGGUGGCUCACACCUGUAAUCUCAGCACUUUGGGAGGCCUAGGCAGGUGGAUCACUUGAGGUGAGGGGUUGGAGACCAGCCUGGCCAAAAUGGUGAAAUCUCGUGUCUACUAAAAACACAAAAAUUAACUGGGUGUGGUGGCUCACAUCUGUAAUCCCAGCACUUUGGGAGGCCGAGGCAGGUGGAUCAUUUGAGGUCAGGAGUUGGAGACCAGCCUGCCCAACAUGGCAAAACCCCAUCUCUACUAAAAAUACAAAAAUUAGCCAGGCAUGGUGGUGCAUGCUUGUAACUCCAGCUACUUGGGAGGCUGAGGCAGGAGAAUGGCUUGAACCCAGAGGUGAAGGUUGCAGUGAGCAGAGAUCACACCACUGCACUCUAGUGUGGGCAACAGAGCGGGACUCUGUCUCAAAAAAAAAAAAAAAGUGAUCUAUUUUAGUUGAACGAUGGUAUAAAGAGUAAUAUAUUUAAAAAAUGUAAAAAAAAACCCUACUCAACUUGGGAAAAAAUGGCA
rnacentral:lncRNA from 10 species